AUGUUGUACCUUUUUGGGUUCUCAUAACAGAACAAUACUCUGUCAUAACAUGUUCUGUUUGGUAGACUAUUGCUCAAAUAUUGUAUUCUUUUUUCAAUACCUGUAUUCUGUUUGUUACCAUGACAAAGGGAUAUUGUAUCUUUCAGUAACACUAGUUCCAUGUAAAAUAUUUUGUGCUUUUGCGGUCAAAAGCUUCCCACAGCGGAGGGAUAUUGUCAUAGUCCUAAAAUCACUAUAAUUAACCCAUAAUUAUAGUUGUCAUAUUUCAAUAAUAUGUUUUGUAUUUCUCUCAAUAUUUUAUCUUACAACUAGCUAUACCUAAAUAUAUUUCUGUAGAUAAUGUUAGUCAGCUGCCAUACACGUAACUGACCGUCACAAACCAGUGACUCUGGACUAUGUAACUCAGCCAAGGUGGCCAGGCUAGGGUUAUGCCUCAGGCUAUAACAUGCUGUGUAUGGCCGGACGCAUCGUCAUUUAGUAUCAGAUAGGCGGAUUAUAAAGGAUAUUACGCGGUCAGUGUGCUCUGUAACUGUCGAAUAAUUGUAAUUAAUACGCCACGCAUGUAGCAGAUUUAGAUCAUAGUUUCAAUAUUAGGUAACUAACGCAUCCUAUAGAAGGCCUGAGUCCCUAUAUAUAGGAGUCCAGUGGCAGAUACUUCACUCUGCCACGAAUAAAGACGUAAAGGGACUCAGCAGCCUUCUCUCUGUUUUAAAGGUGAUAGCCGAGUAAUCAGCUCUACCAAGUUAAUUCCCCCACUAUCUUGGCCAUUGUGACGUAGCAAACGGGACCACGCCC